GACGAACGCUGGCGGCGUGCCUAAUACAUGCAAGUUGAGCGAUGAAGAUUGGUGCUUGCACCAAUUUGAAGAGCAGCGAACGGGUGAGUAACGCGUGGGGAAUCUGCCUUUGAGCGGGGGACAACAUUUGGAAACGAAUGCUAAUACCGCAUAACAACUUUAAACAUAAGUUUUAAGUUUGAAAGAUGCUAUUGCAUUACUUAAAGAUGAUCCCGGGUUGUAUUAGCUUGUUGGUGAGGUAAAGGCUCACCAAGGCGAUGAUACAUAGCCGACCUGAGAGGGGGGUCCGCCAAAUUGGGACUGGGACACGGCCCAAGAUCCUACGGGAGGGAGCAGUAGGGAAUCUUCGGCAAUGGACGAAAGGCUGGCCGGGCAACGCCGCGUGAGUGGAGAAGGUUUUCGGAUCGUAAAACUCUGUUGGUAGAGAAGAACGAUGGUGGGAGUGGAAAGCGCAUCAAUUGACGGUAACUACCCAGAAAGGGACGGCUAACUACGUG
rnacentral:rRNA from 1 species